AACGUACGCUGGCGGCAGGCCUAACACAUGCAAGUCGAACGCCCCGCAAGGGGAGUGGCAGACGGGUGAGUAACGCGUGGGAAUGUGCCCCAAGGUACGGAACAACACCGGGAAACUGGUGCUAAUACCGUAUGUGACCGAGAGGUGAAAGAUUUAUCGACUUGGGAUCAGCCCGCGUUAGAUUAGCUAGUUGGUGAGGUAAUGGCUCACCAAGGCUACGAUCUAUAGCUGGUCUGAGAGGAUGAUCAGCCACACUGGGACUGAGACACGGCCCAGACUCCUACGGGAGGCAGCAGUGGGGAAUCUUGGACAAUGGGCGCAAGCCUGAUCCAGCCAUGCCGCGUGAAUGAUGAAGGCCUUAGGGUUGUAAAGUUCUUUCGUCGGGGACGAUAAUGACGGUACCCGGAGAAGAAGCCCCGGCUAACUUCGUGCCAGCCGCCGCUGUAA
rnacentral:rRNA from 1 species